CCCAUACUUUCGAUUUUUAUAUAUUCAUUUAAACAAUACAUGAUGUACAUACAAUACAAUAAACUAAUAUUUAAACAAUUAUACAUUCGCUUAAAAAUUACAUACAUACUUUGGAAGGUGCGUUAAAUAUAAAAUAAUUUUAUUUUAACAUUUUAAUACUUUUACAUUUUGUAGUUGUAGCUAAGCGUAAUGUCAACAAAUUCGAACUAUUGAGCGACUUCGAUGAUUUGCGCCUCAGUUUUCUUUCACACUCCGACGAGUUAACAUCGAAGCUCUAUCUUUCUAAGCGUGUAAACUUAAAAAUUCAUAUUUUUGAAAAUUGUAUAAUUAUUUAAAUAAUAAUUUUUUUCGUUGCUCGUUUAAUGUAAACAACAAGGAACAUUAGAUUGAACGAGUUAAUUAUUACGUUAGUUUUUUUUCGUACUUCAAGGAUUACAGAUUGAAAUACUCUCUUUCCAUACAACUUCAUUUAGUCAUCUUAUAGAUCCGACGAUUUUAUAAUUAUAUAAAUAAGGUACAAUAUACACGAAAUACAAUAACGUAAUAUUUAGCCUUUGUCGCUCGUCUACUGUAAACAAAAAUAAACAUUAGAUUAACCUCGCGAGUUAUCACAUUAGUUUUCUUUCGUACUCCGAGCCGUAAAGAUCGAAAUACUUUCUUUCCGUACAACUACAUUUAAUCAUCUUAUAGCCUUCAUCGCUCAACUAAUUUCGACAAGAAGGAACAUUAGAUUAACCUUUGCGAAUUUUCACAUUAGUUUUUUUUCGUGUUUCAAGGAUUACAGAUCGAAAUACUCUCUUUCCAUACAACUUCAUUUAAUCAUUUUAUAGAUUCGACCAUUUUAUAAUUAUAUAAACAAGGUACAACAUACACGAAAUGCGAUAACAUAAUAUUUAGGCUUUGUCGCUCGUUAAUGUCAACAAGAAAUAUCAUUGGAUUAACCUAUCGAGUUAUCACGUUAGUUUUCUUUCGUACUUUGACGACUAAAGAUCAGAAUACUCUCUUUCCGUACGAUUAUAUUUGAUCAUUUUAUAGAUUCGAUAUUUUAUAAUUAUUUAAAUAAUGUACAAUAUACUAGGAGUACGAGGAGAUAAUAUUUAAACAAUAGUAUAUUUCGUUAAAUAUCGCAUUGCUCUUAACGCGUUAUACAUAAUUUUUGCUAUCAUAUCCACAUAUUUCAAAAUUCAAGAUAUCCUACAACUAUUUUUUUUU